rnacentral:snoRNA from 1 species
UAAUGAUGAAACAAAACCCAAAGUUGCUCAAAUUACUGACAGACUGUUGGUGGUGAAAAGGUUUUUCUGAAU